ensembl:lncRNA
CACGUGACAAAAUAAAUUGAGUUGUACAACGGAAAAACUGGAUCAAUAAUAAGCCUAUUUAAGGGUUAUGUUUACAUAUACAGUGCACACUUUGAAAAUGAUUUACUGGCAUAAAUAUGAGUUACAGUUUGCUUGGGUGUUAGAAGCUUCUCCAGUAUCUCCAGGCCUGAUAACUUUGAAUCUCAAUCUUGGUUUAAUACAAAGCCUCCGCUGGCUUAAUGAAGAUGAAAAUAUUAUCAUAUGCUGUGAAAAACUAUUUGUCCCCUUCCUGGUUUCUUAUUUUUGGUCUGUUUUUUUUUUUUUGUUUUGUUUGUUUUACAUAUUUGUCAAACAAAUUUAGUAUUAGACAAAGAUAACCUGAGUAACUACAUCAAAGUCAAAGUACUACCAUAUGAAGUAUUUAAAUGACAAUUUCAUUAAUUAAAGGGAAAAGUUAUCCAAACCUCGUCGUGACCGUUCCUUCAAAGUAGCUGAAUUGAAACAAAGAGUCGGUGCUGCAGAGAGUGGGUCACGGCACUGUGAAAGACUCACUGCCAGAGGUCACAUUCCCAAGUUUACUUUUUCACAUAGGAUCAAAUAGAUUUAGAUAUUUCUUUUUUUUUUUUCUUAAGUAAAAUUAUCAUUUAAAAACUGCUGCAUUUUGUAUUUACUCUGGCUAUCACUGCUGAUGUUCUGAAAUAUGCAAAUAAAAAAAACUGAAUAGAAGUCAAGAAGGAGGAAUUUAAAAAAAAUCCCCCUGCAGCCUGCACUUCAGUUUGUGAAUUAUUGGCUGAUUCACUUGUUUUCUCAAAAUUCCCUGUUUCUGAGAAACUAUUGGAGUGCUCGCCAUUGGAGGGGAGUAGAUCUGUAUCUAUGUUGUUCAUAUUUUUUGUUCUCUCUUGAGUAAAGCACUUCGUACCAUGUUGUGGUAUUCCUGGAGUUAGGGUUAGUAAAUAAAGAGAAACUAACUUUUUAUUUUCAAGGAAAUACAGAACACAGAGUUGAGUUACCAAAUUUAGAGCUGGAUACAAUUCUUAAAUUUAAAUGAAAUAAGCUUUCUUGUUUGAUCAUUAUAGAAGCCCUAUUAUCCUUCAACAUUAACCCAACCAUCGGGUUUCUUAAC